rnacentral:lncRNA from 1 species
AUAGCUGAUGCCAUUGGACUUAGACGCCCACUUUACGAGUAUGCACCAUUUGGACACAUCCGACCUAUGGACAUUGAAUUUUGCUUUAACCGUAGAAUCAUAGGAAACCUUGGGCCGGAUACUUUUGAUUACCUCAUUAACAACGAAGUUGUCCGACUAUUUACCCUGCCUAACCAUGAGAGAACAAGUGUUCAUAACCGCAAUAACUGGCUUUAUGAUUUAGAUGAACACCCAAUUGAUCCACCUUCACCUCCUGAGACACCGCCUAUAUAUGAGUAUUUCAAUGACCCUAUCCAUGUUGAUGAAUCUGACCCUGAAACACCUCCAAACU